AGAGUUUGAUCAUGGCUCAGGAUGAACGCUGGCGGCGUGCCUAAUACAUGCAAGUCGAACGGGAAAUUUGUAUAGAGAGCUUGCUCAAAGUACUUAUUUCUAGUGGCGAACGGGUGAGUAACACGUGGGUAACCUGCCUUUCAGUUGGGGAUAACUAGAGGAAACUUUAGCUAAUACCGAAUAACUGUUAAGACGGCAUCGUCUAAACAUAAAAGGGGCUUUUGCCCCGCUGAUAGAUGGACUCGCGACGCAUUAGGUAGUUGGUGAGAUAACAGCUCACCAAGCCAAGGAUGCGUAGCCGACCUGAGAGGGUGAUCGGCCACAAUGGGACUGAGACACGGCCCAGACUCCUACGGGAGGCAGCAGUAGGGAAUUUUCGGCAAUGGGGGAAACCCUGACCGAGCAAUGCCGCGUGAAUGAAGAAGGUCUUCGGACUGUAAAAUUCUGUUAUUUGUGGAAGAAAGGUAGUUGGAGGAAAUGCCAAUUACUUGACGGUACCAAAUGAGAAAGCCCCGGCUAACUAUGUGCCAGCAGCCGCGGUAAUACAUAGGGGGCGAGCGUUAUCCGGAAUUAUUGGGCGUAAAGCGUGCGUAGGUGGUCAGUUAAGUCUGGCGUGAAAUUCCCUGGCUUAACCAGGGGGGGUCGUUGGAAACUGGCUGACUUGAAUCCAGAAGGGGUAAGUGGAAUUCCAUGUGUAGCGGUAAAAUGCAUAGAGAUAUGGAGGAACACCAGUGGCGAAGGCGGCUUACUGGUCUGGGAUUGACACUGAGGCACGAAAGCGUGGGUAGCAAACAGGAUUAGAUACCCUGCUAGUCCACGCCGUAAACGAUGAGCACUAAGUGUCGGACGAAAGUUCGGUGCUGUAGUUAACGCAUUAAGUGCUCCGCCUGGGGAGUACGGUCGCAAGACUGAAACUCA
rnacentral:rRNA from 1 species